rnacentral:rRNA from 1 species
CCAAUAGCGUAUAUUAAAGUUGUUGCAGUUAAAAAGCUCGUAGUUGAAUUUCGGGGUCAGCAGGUUGGUCGUGCCAAUGGUAUGCACUGGCCUUGCUGAUUCCUCCCUCUUGAUGAGCCGUAAUGUCAUUAAUUUGGUGUUGCGGGGAAUCAGGACUGUUACCUUGAAAAAAUUAGAGUGUUUAAAGCAGGCAAGCGCUUGAAUACAUUAGCAUGGAAUAAUGAAAUAGGACGUUUGAUCCUAUUUUGUUGGUUUCUAGGAUUGACGUAAUGAUUAAUAGGGAUAGUUGGGGGCAUUAGUAUUCAAUUGUCAGAGGUGAAAUUCUUGAAUUUAUUGAAGACUAACUACUGCGAAAGCAUUUGCCAAGGAUGUUUUCAUUAAUCAAGAACGAAAGUUAGGGGAUCGAAGACGAUCAGAUACCGUCGUAGUCUUAACCAUAAACUAUGCCGACUAGGGAUCGGAUGAUGUUAAUUUUUUAAUGACUCAUUCGGCGCCUUACG